UCUAAAAUGUCUAAAUGUCUAAGAAGUCAGGACGCAGAACAGCUUUCCUCUGCUUGCUUCCUUAGGAAGCAUUCCAUACAAGCCUUCUUUUUCUACCAUGCCUCCUUAGGUAGCAUUCCGAGCAAGCCUUCCUUUUCUACAGUGCCACUUACCUUGACAAACGUGAGUUUGCAAAUGCAAACACUGCUUUUGGUAUUUCUAAGGGUCACUUCACCGUAGUGCUCGAUCCAUCUCCUCCCACUCAGGAUAUUGUGUAUGCACGUGGUGACUUUAUUCCACACAUAGUAAUCCCCAUAUCUGCAAAGAAUACAGCACUGGUUAAAAGCAGCAGACACAGAUACGUGCCUGCUCCUACAAAGGAGAAUAUUAUUUGGGUAAAACCUCCUAGUUCCUCACUUUCUCCUCACUUCUUGAAAAUCCUCUGUGUAGUUAUGAAAAAUUCGUGACUUUAUUUAUUUACAGUAGUGAAGUGUUCUAUGAUCCUAAAGCUGCUAAGCUCAACAAUGCCUCUCUUCUGGCCCUCUGGUAUAGUGACAUGUCAGAAAAUACUCAAAAAAGUCAACUGUCAUGAAGGUUACGAUUUACCAAUGAAAAAAAGCAUGGGCACAGAAGAGGGGUUUAGUCCUUAGAUUUCUGGAACAUGGAGGGGUUAUUGGGCAAGCCAUAGCAGACCAGGCUGACUCUGUAGUUCUGCGGUGGGGAGGUGGACACGGUGUAUGGGGGGUGGGUAAGGCACAGGGGCCAGAAAAACCAUGGUAUCUAGAGUUCCGUUAGGGGUGGGCUCUAGGUCUUGAGGAGGGCAGGGAAGGCCUUUAAUGAUCCAGCGAAGACUACACAUUUACAGGCAGGCAAUGCACACUGGUGGAAGGAUUGGAGAGAAGACGAAUUAACCAGAUACACGUUUGAGAAAGAUUAUUCUCAGAGCACUCUCAAACAACGUUGCCAUAAUAAAAGUUAAAAAGAACGAGACAAAGUGAGCAAUCAGAUCUAUGGCAGAAAUCCAAUUCAGAUUCUGGGGAAUAAUAUAUGGAAUUUCCACCAACCAAUGAAGUGGCAAGGUCACAAAUCAGGUGUAAGUUUGCACAUUAUGUAUAUUUCCAAGUAAAACUAUAUUUCAUAGUGAAAUAAAAUGCUUCUAAGGUCUAACCGGUAUGAUACAGGUAUUACAGGCUCCCAGGAAAACUAGUUAUUCAUCAGCACACUGUGUGUUUACGUGUGUGUGUAUGUGUGUGUGUGUGUGUGUGUGUGUGUGUGUGUGUGCAUGUGCACACACACUUGCUCCCAGCAUGUGUGUGGAGGUCAGAGGGUAACCUCAGGUGUUGGUCUUUGCCAUUCGCCUAGAAACAGGGUCACUAGGAGGACCUAGUGCAUCCUGCAACCUGCAAGCCAGCUGGCCUGAGAGGUUUCUAAGGAUUCUCCUAUCUCCACCUCCCAUCUUCCAUCUUCCCACAGCACUGGGAUUAUAGGCACUCAUGCUAUGUGUAUCCAGCUUUUACAUGGUUUCUGGGGAUUUGAACUCAGGUCCUUGUGUUUGUGAAGUGCUUUUAUACACUGAGCCACCUCUUUAGCUCCCCUCCCCAGCAUAUCCUACCAUCCAAACAGAUAAAACCCAGAUCAGUCAAACAGGCAAACGACAACAAAUUAAUAUCUUGGUUCUCAAAACAAAUAUUAAUUAAUUUAAAAAAAUUAUGGCCUAUGUUUUCUAAAAUUUUAAUAUAGAACACAAUAAUAAAAGAAUUCCAUUGUUAGUUUUUUUAUAAAUAACUUAAAAUAUGUCUUUUAUCUAUGCAAUAUAUAUGUACACACACACACACACAUAUAUAUAUAUGAAAGUAUAAGUAGUAUAUGCAUAUGUUGUGAUACUUGUGCUGAAAGUGACAGAGACUUUGGGCUUACAGGGACAUAGACCCUUAGAACCUUCCAGAAACCCACUUGAACUGCAAGAGAAAGUAAGAAGCCCGAGAAGGGAGAACGACAUACUUUGGAAGCGUGACGUUCAGGGUUCCGACAGGCAGGAUUUCCAUGGACUUUCCCCAGAACUUAUUUUUCCAUCUGAUAUCUAGAUGAGAUAGCGAGAGGACAAAAAUUCAGUGCUCCAUGUCUGAUGAGUUCUGCAGCAACCAAUACCCGUGUCAUAUGUUACAAGGCAUAUGUUGCAAAUUCAACUGAUCCUGUAGUAUUCAUUUAAUAUCCCAAGGCCCUAACGGUCCUGGUGAAAAAGCUAAGGUGAUGAAAAUAUUGUGAUUCUUCCCAGGUUCAUUAUUUGUUCCUCUAUAAUCACUCUCCCUGUUUGUUUCCAUUUAACAAAAUAAAUUUCAGAAGCUAGGAAUAAAAUAUGUACGUGCGAGAGGUGCUUAUAUAUUCAUAUGAACAUAGAGCCUAUUUAAAUCCCCAGAUAAUAAAAAAUGUUGUUCUGAUUGAAUGAUUAAAAAGUCACACACACAUACACACACAUCAAGCCUGAAGUAUAUGCAAAAAAUAACUGCAGUAUGGUUAUACCUCUGCCUUAUAACACAUGUCUCCCUAUAUGAAGGAGUUAUAUGUCCCAGAGAACAGCGAAAGAUAAAACAGUACACUAAGAUCUUUCCCUCCAGAUCGAGCAGAUUUAUGAGCUCAUGGGUUGAACUUAAUGAACACAUCUCCUGUACUGGCUAUGCUGCAGCCUGAGGCCCACCAUUCCUUCUCAUAUGAUGGCUUUAUGUUUUCCACAUGGACACUCAAAUCUACCUGCAAAUCUGUAAUAAUCACCCGGUCCCUCUGGAUAAACUAAAAAAGAUGAGGGCUGUCCUCAUAAGACUUCUGACUCUUGGUUAUAAUCAAGAAUUAACUUAUUUUCUUGCUUUGCCAUACAGCACAAUCCCAGCACUCUGUCAUGGUGUGCUCUCAAGUGAAGGUAAUACUUCCCGUGAGCCUCCACAUACAAAGAACUAUUUCACACUUAAUGGUCAAGUCAAAAAAUAAGUUCUCUAUUUUCCUGAGGGGGUUUUGGAACUUUAAUUUAGAUAAGACUGAAAUUAUACCACAACAAUGGGACUUAAAUAAGAGAGCCUUCCUUUCAAAGUGCGAGCUCCAAAGAGUCAAAGGACCCUGACUCACUUCAGUGUUUAAACUGUCAUCCCUUUCGGGGGAGGGGGACUGUUCGAGAAAAUCUACAUGCUACACUACAGUUUGCAGAUGCUCCAGUCCCUUAUAUAAAAAGUGCAAGGUACUUGCAUGUAAAAGAUGCAUUGUUCUCAUGUACUUGAAAUUACCCUGGGAUCGCCUGUAAAAACUAAUAAAGUGUCAAUCCUAUGUCAAUGGUUGUUACGAUUCCAUUUUUGUUGAAAUAAAAGAAAACUAUUGGUC
rnacentral:lncRNA from 1 species